GACAGAGGGUGCAAACGUUGCUCGGAAUCACUGGGCGUAAAGGGCGUGUAGGCGGGAAGGAAAGUCAGAUGUGAAAUCCCUGGGCUCAACCCAGGAACUGCAUUUGAAACUCCCUUUCUUGAGUACCGGAGAGGAAGGUGGAAUACCUGGUGUAGAGGUGAAAUUCGUAGAUAUUGGGAAGAACACCGGUGGCGAAGGCGGCGCUCUGGACCGAGACUGACGCUGAGGCGCGAAAGCGUGGGGAGCAAACAGG
rnacentral:rRNA from 1 species